GACGAACGCUGGCGGCGCGCUUAACACAUGCAAGUCGAACGGAAAGGCCUGCUUUCCCUUGUGGAUUGCGGGUACUCGAGUGGCGAACGGGUGAGUAACACGUGAGUGAUCUGCCCCCAACUUGGGUAUAAGCCUGGGAAACUGGGUCUAAUUCCCGAUAGGACUGCAGGGUGGUGCCUGUGGUGGAAAACGAUUUUCUAGUGGUUGGGGAUGAGCUCGCGGCCUAUCAGCUUGUUGGUGGGGUAAUGGCCUACCAAGGCGGCGACGGGUAGCCGGCCGGAGAGGGUGGACGGCCACAUUGGGACUGAGAUACGGCCCAGACUCCUACGGGAGGCAGCAGUGGGGAAUAUUACACAAUGGGCGGAAGCCUGAUGCAGCGACGCCGCGUGGGGGAUGACGGCCUUCGGGUGGUAAACUCCUUUCGACCGCGAGGAAGCCACCUGGUUGGAAGGGUGGUGACGGUAGUGGUAGAAGAAGCACCGGCUAACUACGUG
rnacentral:rRNA from 1 species